rnacentral:rRNA from 1 species
CCUACGGGUGGCAGCAGUGGGGAAUAUUGGGCAAUGGAGGCAACUCUGACCCAGCAACGCCGCGUGAAUGAUGAAGGUCUUCGGAUUGUAAAGUUCUGUGAUGGGGGAUGAACACAAUGACGGUACCCCAAUAGCAAGCCACGGCUAACUACGUGCCAGCAGCCGCGGUAAUACGUAGGUGGCAAGCGUUAUCCGGAAUGACUGGGCGUAAAGGGUGCGUAGGUGGUUUAGUAAGUUGGCGGUGUAAUUCCGGGGCUCAACCUCGGCGCUACCGCCAAAACUAUUAGACUAGAGUACAGUAGAGGUGGGCGGAAUUCGUGGUGUAGCGGUGAAAUGCUUAGAUAUCACGAAGAACUCCGAUUGCGAAGGCAGUUCACUGGACUGCAACUGACACUGAGGCUCGAAAGUGUGGGUAUCAAACAGGAUUAGAUACCCCUGUAGUC